rnacentral:sRNA from 1 species
UGAUCGUGGUCUGCAGCAC